ACGGAAGGCAGCAGUGGGGAAUCUUCCGCAAUGGGCGCAAGCCUGACCCAGCAACGCCGCGUGAAGGAAGAAGGUCUUCGGAUUGUAAACUUCUUUUAUAAGGGACGAAGGAAGUGACGGUACCUUAUGAAUAAGCCACGGCUAACUACGUGCCAGCAGCCGCGGUAAUACGUAGGUGGCAAGCGUUAUCCGGAUUUACUGGGUGUAAAGGGCGCGUAGGCGGGAAGGCAAGUCAGGUGUGAAAUCUAUGGGCUUAACCCAUAAACUGCACUUGAAACUGUCUUUCUUGAGUGCUGGAGAGGUAGACGGAAUUCCUUGUGUAGCGGUGAAAUGCGUAGAUAUAAGGAAGAACACCAGUGGCGAAGGCGGUCUACUGGACAGUAACUGACGCUGAGGCGCGGAAGCGUGGGGAGCAAACAGGAUUAGAUACCCUGGUA
rnacentral:rRNA from 1 species